rnacentral:rRNA from 1 species
CCGAGGGAGGUAUUACCGAGUUACACUCCAAACCCCUGUGAAAUACCACUUGUUGCCUCGGCGGAUCAGCCCGCUCCCGGUAAAACGGGACGGCCCGCCAGAGGACCCCUAAACUCUGUUUCUAUAUGUAACUUCUGAGUAAAACCAUAAAUAAAUCAAAACUUUCAACAACGGAUCUCUUGGUUCUGGCAUCGAUGAAGAACGCAGCAAAAUGCGAUAAGUAAUGUGAAUUGCAGAAUUCAGUGAAUCAUCGAAUCUUUGAACGCACAUUGCGCCCGCCAGUAUUCUGGCGGGCAUGCCUGUUCGAGCGUCAUUUCAACCCUCAAGCACAGCUUGGUGUUGGGACUCGCGUUAAUUCGCGUUCCUCAAAUUGAUUGGCGGUCACGUCGAGCUUCCAUAGCGUAGUAGUAAAACCCUCGUUACUGGUAAUCGUCGCGGCCACGCCGUUAAACCCCAACUUCUGAAUGUUGACCUCGGAUCAGGUAGGAAUACCCGCCUGAACUUAAGCAUAUCAAUAAGCAAGGAAAAAAAAAAAAGUCGUAGGGUAU